CAGUAGCCGCGGUAAUACGUAGGUGGCAAGCGCUGUCCGGAUUUAUUGGGCGUAAAGCGCGCGCAGGCGGUUUUUUAAGUCUGGUGUCUAAGUGCGGGGCUCAACCCCGUGACGCACUGGAAACUGGGAGACUUGAGUGCAGAAGAGGAGAGCGGAAUUCCACGUGUAGCGGUGAAAUGCGUAGAGAUGUGGAGGAACACCAGUGGCGAAGGCGGCUCUCUGGACUGUAACUGACGCUGAGGCGCGAAAGCGUGGGGAGCAAACAGGAUUAGAUACCCGAGUAGUCCCUGUCUCUUAUACA
rnacentral:rRNA from 1 species